UACGUAGGGGCCGAGCGUUGUCCGGAGUUAUUGGGCGUAAAGCGCGCGCAGGCGGCCUCGCGCGCCCGACGUGAAAGCCCCCGGCUUAACCGGGGAGGGUCGUUGGGGACGGCGGGGCUUGAGGGCGGGAGAGGUCGGUGGAAUUCCCGGUGUAGUGGUGAAAUGCGUAGAGAUCGGGAGGAACACCUGUGGCGAAGGCGGCCGACUGGGCCGGCCCUGACGCUGAGGCGCGAAGGCGUGGGGAGCGAACGGG
rnacentral:rRNA from 1 species